rnacentral:rRNA from 1 species
GACGAACGCUGGCGGCGUGCUUAACACAUGCAAGUCGAGCGGAAAGGCCACUUCGGUGGUACUCGAGCGGCGAACGGGUGAGUAACACGUGAGUAAUCUGCCCCUCACUCAGGGAUAACCAUUGGAAACGGUGUCUAAUACCUGAUAUGACCACGUCUCGCAUGGGGUGUGGCGGAAAGCGUUUAGUGGGGAGGGAUGUGCUCGCGGCCUAUGAGCUUGUUGGUGAGGUAGUGGCUCACCAAGGCUUCGACGGGUAGCCGGCCUGAGAGGGUGACCGGCCACACUGGGACUGAGACACGGCCCAGACUCCUACGGGAGGCAGCAGUGAGGAAUAUUGGACAAGGGGCGAAAGCCUGAUCCAGCAACGCCGCGUGAGGGAUGACGGCCUUCGGGUUGUAAACCUCUUUCGCCCAUGACGAAGCGCAAGUGACGGUAGUGGGAGAAGAAGGACCGGCCAACUACGUGCCAGCCGCCGCCGUAACAC